UACGAAGGGGGCUAGCGUUGCUCGGAAUCACUGGGCGUAAAGCGCACGUAGGCGGACUCUUAAGUCGGUGGUGAAAUCCUGGAGCUCAACUCCAGAACUGCCUCCGAUACUGGGAGCCUUCGAGUCCGGGAGAGGUGAGUGGAACUGCGAGUGUAGAGGUGAAAUUCGUAGAUAUUCGCAAGAACACCAGUGGCGAAGGCGGCUCACUGGCCCGGUACUGACGCUGAGGUGCGAAAAGCGUGGGGGAGCAAACAGG
rnacentral:rRNA from 1 species